rnacentral:rRNA from 1 species
UACGGGGGGGGCAAGCGUUGUUCGGAAUUACUGGGCGUAAAGGGCUCGUAGGCGGCCAACUAAGUCGGACGUGAAAUCCCUCGGCUUAACCGGGGAACUGCGUCCGAUACUGGAUGGCUUGAGUCUGGGAGAGGGAUGCGGAAUUCCAGGUGUAGCGGUGAAAUGCGUAGAUAUCUGGAGGAACACCGGUGGCGAAGGCGGCAUCCUGGACCAACACUGACGCUGAUGAGCGAAAGCCAAGGGAGCAAACGGG